CCUACGGGAGGCAGCAGUGGGGGAUAUUGCACAAUGGGCGCAAGCCUGAUGCAGCCAUGCCGCGUGUGUGAAGAAGGCCUUCGGGUUGUAAAGCACUUUCAGCGGGGAGGAAGGCGUUAAGGUUAAUAACCUUGUCGAUUGACGUUACCCGCAGAAGAAGCACCGGCUAACUCCGUGCCAGCAGCCGCGGUAAUACGGAGGGUGCAAGCGUUAAUCGGAAUUACUGGGCGUAAAGCGCACGCAGGCGGUCUGUCAAGUCGGAUGUGAAAUCCCCGGGCUCAACCUGGGAACUGCAUUCGAAACUGGCAGGCUAGAGUCUUGUAGAGGGGGGUAGAAUUCCAGGUGUAGCGGUGAAAUGCGUAGAGAUCUGGAGGUAUACCGGUGGCGAAGGCGGCCCCCUGGACAAAGACUGACGCUCAGGUGCGAAAGCGUGGGGAGCAAACAGGAUUAGAUACCCCUGUAGUC
rnacentral:rRNA from 1 species